CAGCCAUAGAAUACAAAUUUAUCUAGCCACAUGUUCAGAAAAGUGGUCUAUUCCUUUGCAUUGACAGGACCUGUUCUUCAGUACUUCUGAAUGUACCCUGACCAACCGCCGAUAGCACGAGUUUCUACCUUAGCACUGGGUUUGGUGUCGAACAGGUGGCUAUUAUCGGCAGUGGAUAUAUCUAAGCCGGUGAGCAUAAGUACAUCGGCAAGUGUAGGAGAAGCAGGGCCAUGGCCAAACACAAAAGCAUUAAGCGUGUCUGACCAAAAGUAUGAGGCAGCAAUUAGCAGUGACUCAUUCCUCUCCAUAUCGGCAAGAGACAAUCUAAUGCACUGGUCUAAUUUUUGCUCGCCCCACUGGACCUCAUUUGAAUGACUGACUCUCAGGAACCAAUCCUUCCAUCACUUGGUAGGGCUAGGCCAGGAACGGAAGGCGUCCUUCCAUAGAUCUAGGGAGAAAUUUUUGGCCCUAAAAGGAACUUUGUUUGUCUCUGUGUUUAUCAGAUCAGUGGGAUCUGAGUUUCCUAGCGGGCCAAGACAUUGGAGGUGAGGUUGAUCGGUAGGAAUAAUGAUCUUAUCGGCUAGACCCUAAAGGUUUGUGGGGAUAAAAGAAAGAACAAAAAAAAAGAAAAAGGAGUAUUCAGUAAAAGAAAUCGCGGAUGAACAGGAGUAUAGUAAAGAUGCAGAAAAGAAAGGUAGUGAACUGACCUCAGGCACGGUAAAGUUGAUGGCCAUUUUCUUGCGAGGAAGAAGAUCGGAGACUUGGGAGAUUGGUGAAGAAGGCCUUCGUUGAAGUUCUUGGAGUCCUCGGGUGGUGCCGCCGCCGUGAAAGUGGAUUUUAGGCUGUAGAAUGACAAGAUGGAGAAGGAGUACCCGAGAAGGAAGUAUUUAUAGGACAAAACGGGUAGGGGCAGAUCUGACUUAUCUCUUUGCCGCAUCCGUGAAAUCCGAGGGUGUUCAGGUGGAUAUGGUAACUGUUUGCACGGUAAUCAAGAGAUUGCGCAGGUGAUUUGACACCAAGCGGUCACGAUUUUGAAGAUAUUUCACUGUGCGGGAUCUCCUGGUCGGUCCAUCGGCAGUUCCCUCUAACGGUAAUAUUGCCGAUGGGCGCAUAAAGUGGAGAUAUCCCGUUCGGGAGGUUGAGGAGUUCAAGGAAUCUGCAGGAGAAUCAGGCCAAGGUUGUUCAGAUUUAACGGUCGGUUACCAAAUUGGGAGAGUUAAUUGCGGAAAGGCAUCAUUACUGCAGAGAAUUUUGGAGCAUUAAUAAUUUUAUACUCCGAAAUUGGGGGACAUGUGUUGACACCGUUUUUAGACACAUACCCGAGGAUC
rnacentral:lncRNA from 1 species